rnacentral:rRNA from 1 species
UGCAGUCGACGAGAAAGUCCCCGCAAGGGGAUGAGUAAAGUGGCGACCGGGUGAGUAACACGUGACUAACCUACCCUGAAGCGGGGAAUAACCUCGGGAAACCGGGGCUAAUACCGCAUACCUUCCAGAGGGGAAGAUCCUUUGGAGGAAACGAGCAAUCGGCUUUAGGAGGGGGUCGCGCCCGAUUAGGUAGUUGGCGGGGUAACGGCCCACCAAGCCUUUGAUCGGUAGCCGGCCUGAGAGGGCGCACGGCCACACUGGAACUGAAACACGGUCCAGACUCCUACGGGAGGCAGCAGUGGGGAAUUUUGCGCAAUGGGGGAAACCCUGACGCAGCAACGCCGCGUGGAGGAUGAAGUCCCUUGGGACGUAAACUCCUUUCGACCGGGACGAUGAUGACGGUACCGGUGGAAGAAGCCCCGGCUAACUACGUGCCAGCAGCCGCGGUAAGACGUAGGAUGCGAACGUUAUCCGGAAUUACUGGGCGUAAAGAGUUCGUAGGCGAACUGUUAAGUAGAAUGUUAAAGACUUGAGCUCAACUCAGGGAAGGUAUUCUAAACUGGCAGAAUAGAGUGUGGCAGAGGCAAGUGGAAAUUCUGUGUGUAGGGGUAAAAUCCGUAGAUAAUGUGGGAGGGAAACACCGGAAUGGCGGAAAGGCAGCCUCCUGGGCCAACAC